rnacentral:rRNA from 1 species
GAUGAACGCUGGCGGCGUGCCUAAUACAUGCCAGUCGAGCGAACAGACGAGGAGCUUGCUCCUCUGACGUUAGCGGCGGACGGGUGAGUAACACGUGGAUAACCUACCUAUAAGACUGGGAUAACUUCGGGAAACCGGAGCUAAUACCGGAUAAUAUAUUGAACCGCAUGGUUCAAUAGUGAAAGAAGGUUUUGCUGUCACUUAUAGAUGGAUCCGCGCCGCAUUAGCUAGUUGGUAAGGUAACGGCUUACCAAGGCGACGAUGCGUAGCCGACCUGAGAGGGUGAUCGGCCACACUGGAACUGAGACACGGUCCAGACUCCUACGGGAGGCAGCAGUAGGGAAUCUUCCGCAAUGGGCGAAAGCCUGACGGAGCAACGCCGCGUGAGUGAUGAAGGUCUUCUGAUCGUAAAACUCUGUUAUUAGGGAAGAACAAAUGUGUAAGUAACUAUGCACGUCUUGACGGUACCUAAUCAGAAAGCCACGGCUAACUACGUG